rnacentral:rRNA from 1 species
GUGGCUAAGACUGGAUAGGAAGAUAAAAGGCAUCUUUUAUCUUUUAAAAGACCUAGUAAUAGGUAUGCUUUAGGAGGGGCUUGCGCCAUAUUAGUUAGUUGGUAGGGUAAUGGCCUACCAAGACGAUGAUGUGUAGCUGGACUGAGAGGUUGAACAGCCACAUUGGGACUGAGACACGGCCCAAACUCCUACGGGAGGCAGCAGUAGGGAAUUUUCGGCAAUGGAGGAAACUCUGACCGAGCAACGCCGCGUGAAUGACGAAGUACUUCGGUAUGUAAAGUUCUUUUAUCAAGGAAGAAAAGCAAAUGGCGAACCAUUUGUUUGCCGGUACUUGAUGAAUAAGCCCCGGCUAAUUAUGUGCCAGCAGCCGCGGUAAGACAUAAGGGGCAAGUGUUAUCCGGAAUUAUUGGGCGUAAAGGGUGCGUAGGCGGUCUAGUAAGUCAGUGGUGUAAUGGCAACGCUUAACGUUGUCCGGCUAUUGAAACUGCUAAACUUGAGUUAGAUAGAGGCGAGUGGAAUUCCAUGUGUAGCGGUAAAAUGCGUAAAUAUAUGGAGGAACACCAGAGGCGUAGGCGGCUCGCUGGGUCUUAACUGACGCUGAGGCACGAAAGCGUGGGGAGCAAACAGGAUUAGAUACCCUGGUAGUCCACGCCGUAAACGAUGAGUACUAUGUGUCGGGUUAAACCGGUACUGAAGUUAACACAUUAAGUACUCCGCCUGAGUAGUACGUACGCAAGUAUGAAACUUAAAGGAAUUGACGGGACUCCGCACAAGCGGUGGAUCAUGUUGUUUAAUUCGAAGAUACCCGAAAMACCUUACCAGGUCUUGACAUGUUUUUGCAAAAUGAUAGUAAUAUCGUGGAGGUUACCAGAAACACAGGUGGUGCAUGGUUGUCGUCAGCUCGUGUCGUGAGAUGUUAGGUUAAGUCCUAAAACGAGCGAAACCCUUAUCGUUAGUUGCCAGCACGUUAUGGUGGGGACUUUAACGAGACUGCCAAUGAUAAAUUGGAGGAAGGUGAGGAUCACGUCAAAUCAGCAUGCCCCUUAUGACCUGGGCUACAAACGUGAUACAAUGGCUGUUACAAAGGGUAGCUGAAACGCAAGUUCUUGGCCAAUCCCCAAAAACAGUCCCAGUCCGGAUUGAAGUCUGCAACUCGACUUCAUGAAGUUGGAAUCGCUAGUAAUCGCGAAUCAGCAUGUCGCGGUGAAUACGUUCUCGGGGUUUGUACACACCGCCCGUCAAACCACG